rnacentral:rRNA from 1 species
UACGUAGGGGGCAAGCGUUGUCCGGAUUUAUUGGGCGUAAAGAGCGUGUAGGCGGCCAGGUAGGUCUGCUGUGAAAACUCGAGGCUCAACCUCGAGACGCCGAUGGAAACCAUCUGGCUAGAGUCCGGAAGAGGAGAGUGGAAUUCCUGGUGUAGCGGUGAAAUGCGCAGAUAUCAGGAAGAACACCCGUGGCUAAGGCGGCUCUCUAGUACGGUACUGACGCUGAGACGCGAAAGCGUGGGGAGCGAACAGG